rnacentral:rRNA from 1 species
GGCCUUACGGGCUGGGCUACACACGUGCUACAAUGGCGGUGACAAUGGGACGCUAAGGGGCAACCCUUCGCAAAUCUCAAAAAGCCGUCUCAGUUCGGAUUGGAGUCUGCAACCCGAGCCCAUGAAGUUGGAAUCGCUAGUAAUCGUGGAUCAGCAUGCCACGGUGAAUACGUUCCCGGGCCUUGUACACACCGCCCGUCACACCAUGGGAGUUGGUUUUACCUGAAGACGGUGCGCUAACCGGAAGGGGGCAGCCGGCCACGGUAGGGUCAGCGACUGGGGUGAAGUCGUAACAAGGUAACC